rnacentral:rRNA from 1 species
UACAGAGGUCUCAAGCGUUUGUUCGGAUUCAUUGGGCGUAAAGGGUGCGUAGGCGGCGCGGUAAGUCGGGUGUGAAAUCUCGGAGCUUAACUCCGAAACUGCAUUCGAUACUGCCGUGCUUGAGGACUGGAGAGGAGACUGGAAUUUACGGUGUAGCGGUGAAAUGCGUAGAUAUCGUAAGGAAGACCAGUGGCGAAGGCGGGUCUCUGGGAAGGUACCGACGCUGGAGGAGCGAAAGCGUGGGGAGCAAACAGG